GAUGAACGCUGGCGGCGUGCCUAAUACAUGCAAGUCGAGCGAACAGACGAGGAGCUUGCUCCUCUGACGUUAGCGGCGGACGGGUGAGUAACACGUGGAUAACCUACCUAUAAGACUGGGAUAACUUCGGGAAACCGGAGCUAAUACCGGAUAAUAUAUUGAACCGCAUGGUUCAAUAGUGAAAGACGGUUUUGCUGUCACUUAUAGAUGGAUCCGCGCCGCAUUAGCUAGUUGGUAAGGUAACGGCUUACCAAGGCAACGAUGCGUAGCCGACCUGAGAGGGUGAUCGGCCACACUGGAACUGAGACACGGUCCAGACUCCUACGGGAGGCAGCAGUAGGGAAUCUUCCGCAAUGAGCGAUAGCCUGACGGAGCAACGCCGCGUGAGUGAUGAAGGUCUUCGGAUCGUAAAACUCUGUUAUUAGGGAAGAACAAAUGUGUAAGUAACUAUGCACGUCUUGACGGUACCUAAUCAGAAAGCCACGGCUAACUACGUG
rnacentral:rRNA from 1 species